AGGCGGUUGAGGGAGGGUGAGGAGGAUGAGAGGAUUGCGGAGGGGAGGACGGCGUCGGCGACGGCGAGGAAGAUCGGAGCAGAAAAGAUGAUGAAAGAGAG